UCUUCCUAUCCAACUCUCUUCUCUCCACUCCUCUCUCCAACUCAUAGACGUGUGGGCCCCAUAACAUCAUCCACUUCCGGCAGCAGCACCCAGCCUAGACCUCCCGCGGCCGCCUCCUCCUCUCUCGCUCCGGACUCCACGGCAGGCAGGGGCACGUCCUCCAUGGCAAGCGAGGGGCGAUAGUGGAGCGCACGGGAUGAGAAGAUAUGGAGCCCUCUUGGCUCGGGAUCUUUGCUGAGCGAGAUAGCGGGGACGGUCAGUGGAAUAGCGAGGGGAAUAGCGGGGACGGUUCAGAAACAUUCAGUUUUGACUCCAUGCAAACAGCAAUGUUCAGAGCUCUUUUUGAACAGGAUGAAGCUCGAAUCAAGGAAAGUGUACAAUGUAAAACAGAAUCUAAAGUCGAGGUUGUCUAGAUCAAGCUCGUCAAUCCGACGGCUGAAGUUUUGGAAGAGGAGAAAGAAAGUUGAUCAAGAUAAGGUUUGCCAAGGAACUCCAAGCCGAAGCUUCACUUCGUGAAGAGAAGUCAGGCAAGCACCGGAGCAUCUAGGCCUACUAUUUUCGAUUAACUUAUGUUAAUAUUUUAUGAACUGCAUCUGAAUGCUUAGGUCUAGGAGUUGCGUGAUCAAGCUAUUUGAUGCAUGUAUACCUUUCUUGAGCUAAGGAUAUCUUUGCCACCUACUCAGAAAAGAUUAGUCAAACAUUAGUCAACCGUAGUCUAUACCUAGCUCCAGCACCUCGAUACUGUCAUACCCAGCUCAAUUAAAAACAAGGUUCCUCUUAAAUGCGCUCUAUCGAGCGGAAUGUAUGGCUGGUUGUUGAGUGCAGAGCAGAAAUGGAGUUUUGGCUAUGUCCUCACUUCCAGAAAGAAAGAUAUAAGGAACUUAUGGCAUGUUUAAUCUUGAUCAAGCUUUGGAUAUAUUGGUCACAUGCUGACAUAUGGAACCAGUAUGCCGAAUAGUGUGGUUGACCUAAAUACUUGAACCAGGAUUUCUACCCCACGGGAGGGGGGGUCAUAGCCUGAAACCCGUAUUGUGAUCGGGCCUGAUGGAGGGUCAAAUACGGGGUUGCGAACUUGGGUCUGAGUAGACUAGUUCAGGGUUUAGUAUCUUCCUCAUGAAAGGUUACCACGUAGGGUUUGCUAGGAACAUGUACGUGAUGUGUGGCUAGGUAUCUCAUGCAGGAUGUCGCACUUCUUGGUUAUGAAUAGCGCUUGAUGUCGCUUGAACAUCGUAGAGUAACGAGAUGCAAUGAUCAUAAAAGUUGAGUGCUGAACUAGUUUAUUACAUGCUGGUUUGAUGAGGUACUAGAUGUCAUAGGUUACGGUUUAAUUGUUGUUUCCUUCUAUAGUAGAUGUAUAUAUUUCAAGUCCAAUGCUUUCAACCAACAGACCAGUCCACUCAACAAGCCUUGCAUAUUCUUGGAUCCUACUUUUAUACUUGUGUAGUCAGGUCAGUUUUGCUGAGUACCUUCGUACUCAGAGGAGCUUGGAGGUCAAAGACUUCAAAGCCUAGAGGGUAUCAUGAGUCCAUAUACCUCUAGAUGUUUUCAAAAACUUAAAACCUUGUAAUAAGGUAAGUUUAACAAUCAAACCCUACGACCGCGGGAUCUAUGUGUGAAACUCUGUAGAACUAGUUUGCACUAAGGUUUGUGCUUAAGGUGUAAUAAAUCUCAUCUUGUUUUUCCAAUCUACAAUCAAUAUCUGUGUGUAAAAUCUGAUGCUCCUAUGCAAAAUGAUCUUGUAUGCAUGUCUAAGACAUGGUUGCACAGUGGUUGAAUCAGGUGAAACCUGACGGACUACCGGAUUUGUUCCAUUUUAAGAGAGUUAGCUGGAUCUUUGUAAAAGGGUGAUCAAACGCUCUUAAGAUGGGAUAAAUUGGGCGGUUCCGCCACAUGUGUGCUUGGGGUUUAGAGUUCCGCACAGGUUUAUGGGGACAGGGCGGGCGUAGUGCACCAGGAGGCCUCGCAGGCUGUGGUCGGGGCCACCAAGGCGGGUCUCGCAGGCUCGGUCCAUCCAAAGGGGGUUUAGCUUUCUGAAUUAUUCAGAUAAAAUAUUU